rnacentral:rRNA from 1 species
GACGAGGGGUCCAAGCGUUGUUCGGAAUCAUUGGGCGUAAAGCGGGUGUAGGCGGCUCUAUAAGUCAGAAGUGAAAGCCCCGAGCUUAACUUGGGAAGUGCUUUUGAUACUGCAGGGCUUGAAUGUGGGAGAGGGUAGUGGAAUUCCAGGUGUAGUGGUGAAAUACGUAGAUAUCUGGAGGAACACCGGUGGCGAAGGCGGCUACCUGGCCCAACAUUGACGCUGAGACCCGGAAGCGUGGGGAUCAAACAGG